UGUGAAUAUUCUUGUAACCAAAUUUACAUAAAUAUAUAGAUCCUUUUUUCUUACCGUGAAAUUUCACUUGAUAUCCCACUUUGGCUGGCUAAGAUUUCGAGUGUCUCUCUAUCUCUAGCGAGUAGCACUACCUUACAAAGAACAAUGUCAGUAUGUCACAACUAAUCUACAUUAAUAAAACUACGCAAUAACACCAACUCUAAAUAAAGUUGGUGCACCAAUUUACAUUCGGAAGAUAAAUGUUCCAACUUAGUUUAUUUAAAUCAACGUCUAUGAAGACUCGGCUCGUCACGACACUUCGAUUGUAUUCAAGUCAAUAUAUAUGAUUUGGAAAAAAAUAUGAUUUAUCCGUGUAUCAAAUAUAAAAAAAAUAUUUUUCCACACGUAACGUAACGUGUUUUUCUAAUUGUAUUUUGUUGACAA
rnacentral:lncRNA from 1 species